rnacentral:rRNA from 1 species
CCUACGGGAGGCUGCAGUGAGGAAUAUUGGUCAAUGGACGAGAGUCUGAACCAGCCAAGUAGCGUGAAGGAUGACUGCCCUAUGGGUUGUAAACUUCUUUUAUAUGGGAAUAAAACGUUCCACGUGUGGGAUUUUGUAUGUACCAUAUGAAUAAGGAUCGGCUAACUCCGUGCCAGCAGCCGCGGUAAUACGGAGGAUCCGAGCGUUAUCCGGAUUUAUUGGGUUUAAAGGGAGCGUAGGUGGAUUGUUAAGUCAGUUGUGAAAGUUUGCGGCUCAACCGUAAAAUUGCAGUUGAAACUGGCAGUCUUGAGUACAGUAGAGGUGGGCGGAAUUCGUGGUGUAGCGGUGAAAUGCUUAGAUAUCACGAAGAACUCCGAUUGCGAAGGCAGUUCACUGGACUGCAACUUACACUGAGGCUCGAAAGUGUGGGUAUCAAACAGGAUUAGAUACCCGGGUAGUC